GUGCCAGCAGCCGCGGUAAUACGUAGGGUGCAAGCGUUAAUCGGAAUUACUGGGCGUAAAGCGUGCGCAGGCGGUUUUGUAAGUUUGUCGUGAAAUCCCCGGGCUCAACCUGGGAAUUGCGAUGAAGACUGCAAGGCUAGAAUCUGGCAGAGGGGGGUAGAAUUCCACGUGUAGCAGUGAAAUGCGUAGAGAUGUGGAGGAACACCGAUGGCGAAGGCAGCCCCCUGGGUCAAGAUUGACGCUCAUGCACGAAAGCGUGGGGAGCAAACAGGAUUAGAUACCCUGGUAGUCCACGCCCUAAACGAUGUCUACUAGUUGUCGGGUUUUAAUUAACUUGGUAACGCAGCUAACGCGUGAAGUAGACCGCCUGGGGAGUACGGUCGCAAGAUUAAAACUCAAAGGAAUUGACGGGGACCCGCACAAGCGGUGGAUGAUGUGGAUUAAUUCGAUGCAACGCGAAAAACCUUACCUACCCUUGACAUGUACGGAAGCCACGAGAGAUCGAGGUGUGCUCGAAAGAGAGCCGUAACACAGGUGCUGCAUGGCAGUCGUCAGCUCGUGUCGUGAGAUGUUGGGUUAAGUCCCGCAACGAGCGCGACCCUUGUCAUUAGUUGCUACGAAAGAGCACUCUAAUGAGACUGCCGGUGACAAACCGGAGGAAGGUGGGGAUGACGUCAAGUCCUCAUGGCCCUUAUGGGUAGGGCUUCACACGUCAUACAAUGGUACAUACAGAGGGCCGCCAACCCGCGAGGGGGAGCUAAUCCCAGAAAGUGUAUCGUAGUCCGGAUUGUAGUCUGCAACUCGACUACAUGAAGUUGGAAUCGCUAGCAAUCGCGGAUCAGCAUGUCGCGGUGAAUACGUUCCCGGGUCUUGUACACACCGCCCGUCACACCAUGGGAGCGGGUUUUACCAGAAGUAGGUAGCUUAACCGCAAGGAGGGCGCUUACCACGGUAGGAUUCGUGACUGGGGUGAAGUCGUAACAAGGUAACC
rnacentral:rRNA from 1 species